rnacentral:rRNA from 1 species
GGUAGGUGGCAAGCGUUGUCCGGAAUUAUUGGGCGUAAAGCGCGCGCAGGCGGUCCUUUAAGUCUGAUGUGAAAGCCCACGGCUCAACCGUGGAGGGUCAUUGGAAACUGGGGGACUUGAGUACAGAAGAGGAAAGCGGAAUUCCAAGUGUAGCGGUGAAAUGCGUAGAGAUUUGAAGGAACACCAGUGGCGAAGGCGGCUUUCUGGUCUGUAACUGACGCUGAGGCGCGAAAGCGUGGGGAGCAAACAGGAUUAGAUACCCUGGUAGUCCACGCCGUAAACGAUGAGUGCUAAGUGUUAGGGGGUUUCCCGCCCCCCUUAGUGCUGCAGCUAACGCAUUAAGCACUCCGCCUGGGGGAGUACGGCCGCAAGGCUG